CGCGGAGUAGAGCAGUUGGUAGCUCGUCGGGCUCAUAACCCGGAGGUCGCAGGUUCAAGUCCUGCCUCCGCAA
rnacentral:tRNA from 1 species